rnacentral:rRNA from 1 species
GGGGGAGGUGGCGGCGUGCUAUACAUGCAAGUCGAGCGAAUGAUGAGGAGCUUGCUCCUCUGAUUUAGCGGCGGACGGGUGAGUAACACGUGGGUAAUCUGCCUGUAAGACGGGGAUAACUCCGGGAAACCGGGGCUAAUACCGGAUAAUAAGAGAAGAAGCAUUUCUUCUUUUUGAAAGUCGGUUUCGGCUGACACUUACAGAUGAGCCCGCGGCGCAUUAGCUAGUUGGUGAGGUAACGGCUCACCAAGGCGACGAUGCGUAGCCGACCUGAGAGGGUGAUCGGCCACACUGGGACUGAGACACGGCCCAGACUCCUACGGGAGGCAGCAGUAGGGAAUCUUCGGCAAUGGGCGAAAGCCUGACCGAGCAACGCCGCGUGAGCGAUGAAGGCCUUCGGGUCGUAAAGCUCUGUUGUUAGAGAAGAACAAGUACGAGAGUAACUGCUCGUACCUUGACGGUACCUAACCAGAAAGCCACGGCUAACUACGUGCCAGCAGCCGCGGUAAUACGUAGGUGGCAAGCGUUAUCCGGAAUUAUUGGGCGUAAAGCGCGCGCAGGCGGUCUCUUAAGUCUGAUGUGAAAGCCCACGGCUCAACCGUGGAGGGUCAUUGGAAACUGGGAGACUUGAGUGCAGGAGAGAAAAGUGGAAUUCCACGUGUAGCGGUGAAAUGCGUAGAGAUGUGGAGGAACACCAGUGGCGAAGGCGGCUUUUUGGCCUGUAACUGACGCUGAGGCGCGAAAGCGUGGGGAGCAAACAGGAUUAGAUACCCUGGUAGUCCACGCCGUAAACGAUGAGUGCUAGGUGUUGGGGGGUUCCACCCUCAGUGCUGAAGUUAACACAUUAAGCACUCCGCCUGGGGAGUACGACCGCAAGGUUGAAACUCAAAGGAAUUGACGGGGGCCCGCACAAGCAGUGGAGCAUGUGGUUUAAUUCGAAGCAACGCGAAGAACCUUACCAGGUCUUGACAUCCUCUGAUCACUCUAGAGAUAGAGCUUUCCCCUUCGGGGGACAGAGUGACAGGUGUGCAUGGUUGUCGUCAGCUCGUGUCGUGAGAUGUGGUAGUCCCGCACGAGCGCACCCUUGACCUUAGUGCCAGCAUUCAGUUGGGCACUCUAAGGUGACUGCCGGUGGACAAA